CCACCCUUUUAAUUUAUCUUUGAAAUAAUUCAUCAGAACACUUGCCAAGUCAAUAAUUCAUAGGAAGACUUGCCAAGUCAAGCUCGGAAAGUUCAUAUAAAAAGAGAAGUGCGAAAGUAGACAUCUCCAUCAACUUAGCAUUCAACGAAUUAUAUUUGCUUCAAAAUAUCAACAAAUGAAUCGAAGAAGCCAAUCAUAUUGCUUUCGUGGUAUUAUUACCUUCUUUUGUCUUCUUCCCUUACCAAGCACCUUUGCUUGUCCCACACGGUCCUUGUCAGUCCCUGUGUCGCUGCGACCAGAGAGAUGCUCUGUUAAAGCUACAAAAGGAGUUCCCGAUCUAUUCCAACAACAGCUAUUCUGUAACAACAACUUCAUGGAACAAUAGCGUUGACUGCUGUUCUUGGUACGGUGUCACGUUUGAUGCUAUCUUGGGAGAGAUGAGGAACCGUAGGGAGACCGUUAACACCAUUGGAAGGAAGGACAUCCAACAGACUAUAGUCCAGGAGAGCAGCCGUAUUCAAAUCCUCCAAGCCUUAAUCACGCUCUCCGGAGGUGGCAGGCAGUGCUCUGCCGGUCAAAUCGAGCACUGGGAGUGGAAGCUGUUAUCAUGCCAGAGAAAGGUUUCUAAAUUAUGACAUGAAAUGAAUAUAGCCAUAUAUGAGACACUUAAAGGAGUCGAAGCUUCUGGUUUGAGGAGAGUUAAACAAAUAAUGCAUGGACUCAUGCAUACCAUAUAUAGCUACAUAAUGCAUGGACUCAUACAUAUCAUACAUAGCUACAGUGCCACUACUAUUGUAAUAAAUAAUCAAAUUAACCACUUAUCUUUCA